UUCAUGGGGAAUGCGAUCUCCCCACUAGGCGACAUGCUGAAGAAUCGCGUCCCACUCAAGUGCAAGUACGCAUCAUA
rnacentral:ncRNA from 1 species